UCGUGGCCAACGAACUGUUCUUCGUGUUUCUUUCCGUAAUCAAUCCAUAACAAAAUUUUAGCAAUAAAGGCAAAAGUUGUUUUGUUACGAAUUACGAUGAAUUCGUCGAAAUUUUUAAUGAAAUUUCUGAUCAGGAUAUGAAUUUUGAUCGUUACAUGUGUCGCAAGUUACCAUACGUUUUGUCCAAAACGAAUAAUCUCACGUGCAAUUUCUUAGUGCUUAUUUAAUGAUGCUGCGGUGCUCUUGUUUUUCUAUCGAGUAGAGAAUGCCCACGUUCAAAACACCUAACAGGCAUGGGUACUCGGUGAAAUUCUCUUCUUUUUGUAGCGAUCAAUUGGUGGUAGCUACUUCGCAAUAUUACGGUUUCACUGGUGGUGGUACUUUAUUUCAUCUGAAAGUCUCUGACGAUAGAAAUUUAGUCGAAGUAUCGAAUUCGCCAUGGGGUGAUGGCUUAUUCGAUGUGGUGUGGAGUGAAUGUGAUCCAGAUGUGGUUGUAACAGCCAGCGGUGACGGUACAUUACAAUUAUGGAAUUUAAGAACAAACCCACAAGUACCGGUACAAGUAUUUCGAGAACAUACCAAAGAAAUUUACAGCGUUGACUGGAGCCAAACCAGAUUCGAACAACUUGUACUUUCGGCUUCGUGGGAUAAAUCUAUUAAAUUAUGGGAUCCUAAUGAAACUACUUCAUUGAAUACGUUCGUUGGCCAUACAGAAUUAGUAUACAAUGCUAUGUGGUCGCCUUUAAUACCAUCAUGUUUUGCUUCGGUUUCUGGUGAUGGUAUGCUUAAAAUUUGGAGUAGUAAUUUACAUCAAAGAUCUCCAUUAACGUUACAUGCCCACGACGCUGAAGUGUUGACAUGCAGUUGGUGUAAAUACGAUCAAAAUUUAAUCGCUACCGGUGGAUCCGAUGGUCUGAUUCGUGGUUGGGAUAUGCGAAAUUUUACCGCUCCAAUAUUCGAACAAAAGGGCUGUGAAUAUGCUGUAAGGAAAAUUCAGUUUUCUCCAUAUCACGCAUCUUCGCUGGCUUCGGUUUCGUACGAUUUUACCACCAGAAUUUGGGACUAUAGAAUUAGUUGCGACGCCAUUGAAGUCAUACAACACCAUUCCGAAUUCGUUUAUGGCCUUGAUUUCAAUGUUCACCGGGAAGGUGAAAUGGCCGAUUGUGGAUGGGAUUCUCUUGUUCAUGUUUUUACUCCGAAAACAUUCAAUAGUGUUACCAAGUGUUGAAGUGAUAUGGUUAAGAAUAGUAUAUUCUGAAAUACCUAGGUGAAGUAUUUUCGAAUGUCGCGUCGGGAAGAUCUCAAGCACGAAUGCUUCGGAGUCAAUCUUUCGAAAAUGAAAAAAAGAAGAGAAGAGAGAAAAUAGUUUUAGUCAUUUUUCCAUUUCACUGGUUUGGGCGUCGUUGUUUGCGUGGGCAUGAUGGAGACUUAUUGAAAUUUUGAACGUGGAAAUAACUAAACUUGGCAUACAUUUGUUGUACGGAAAUGGAAAUAUUAUCAAUUUUGAAAUAACAGGCGUUAUUUUUUCAAUUGUUUUUUUUCUGUAUUAUUCAUUUUAAUAUAAUAUCUAAACAUUCGA